rnacentral:rRNA from 1 species
AAUCAACGCUGGCGGCGUGCCUAACACAUGCAAGUCGCACGAGAAAGGGGAGCAAUCCCUGAGUACAGUGGCGCACGGGUGAGUAACACGUGACUAACCUACCCUCGAGUGGGGAAUAACCUAGGGAAACCUGGGCUAAUACCGCAUAGCACUUACGAGUCAAGGCAGCAAUGCGCUAGGGGAGGGGGUCGCGGCCGAUUAGCUAGUUGGCGGGGUAAUGGCCCACCAAGGCAAUGAUCGGUAUCCGGCCUGAGAGGGCGCACGGACACACUGGAACUGAAACACGGUCCAGACUCCUACGGGAGGCAGCAGUGGGGAAUUUUGCGCAAUGGGGGAAACCCUGACGCAGCAACGCCGCGUGGAGGAUGAAGUCUCUUGGGACGUAAACUCCUCUCGAUCGGGAAGAUAAUGACGGUACCGAUAGAAGAAGCCCCGGCUAACUUCGUGCCAGCAGCCGCGGUAAUACGAGGGGGGCAAGCGUUGUUCGGAAUUAUUGGGCGUAAAGGGUGCGUAGGCGGUCUGGUAAGUCUUGUAUGAAAUCUUCAGGCUCAACCUGAGUCUGGCAUGAGAACUGCCGGGCUUGAGUAUGGGA